rnacentral:miRNA from 1 species
UGGAUGGCCCCUCCAUGUCU